rnacentral:rRNA from 1 species
AUUGAACGCUGGCGGCAGGCCUAACACAUGCAAGUCGAACGAGUGGCGGACGGGUGAGUAAUGUCUGGGAAACUGCCUGAUGGAGGGGGAUGACUACUGGAAACGGUAGCUAAUACCGCAUACCAUCAGAUGUGCCCAGAUGGGAUUAGCUUGUGGGUGGGGUAACGGCUCACCAAGGCGACGAUGCCUAGCUGGUCUGAGAGGAUGACCAGCCACCCUGGAACUGAGAUACGGUCCAGACGCCGACGGGAGGCAGCAGGGGGGAAUAUUGCACAAGGGGCGCAAGCCUGAUGUAGCCACGCCGGGUGGAUGAAGAAGGCGGUCGGGUUGUAAAGUACUGUCAGCGGGGAGGCGUUACCCGCAGAAGAAGGACCGGCUAACUCCGUGCCAGCAGCCGCGGUAAUUC